rnacentral:rRNA from 1 species
UGGCGGACGGGUGAGUAACGCGUGGAAAACCUGCCGUAUACUGGGGGAUAACACUUAGAAAUAGGUGCUAAUACCGCAUAAGCGCACAGCUUCGCAUGAAGCGGUGUGAAAAACUCUGGUGGUAUACGAUGGUUCCGCGUCUGAUUAGCUAGUUGGUGGGGUAAUGGCCUACCAAGGCAACGAUCAGUAGCCGGCCUGAGAGGGGUGAACGGCCACAUUGGGACUGAGACACGGCCCAAACUCCUACGGGAGGCAGCAG